rnacentral:lncRNA from 1 species
UCAUGUAAGUAAUUAUCAUAGGAAAGAGAGGAAAUGUUUUGACAAAUGGUCUUCUGUAGUUUCAGAACAUCGCCAUACUCCAGUGCUGGCCAAGCUUGAGGAAGCCCAUCACACCCAAACUGUCUCACAAUCACAACUAAAAACUAGACAGAGUACAGGAAGCAACUACCCCAACACGGAGGAGUUAACUCACGGAGAGACUGAGAAGAGGCCAGAUUUGAAGAACAACAGUUAGGAGAGAAACAUACCUUAAUCUGAGCCCUGAGGAAAUGUGGGAUCUCUGUGCCCUUAGAGAAACACUAUUGGAUAAAUGAAAGACAACAAAGGAUAUAUCAAAUGUAGUUACUCAGAAAUGAAGAUAAGAGAUCGCCUACGUUGCAUGGAGAAACCUGUUCAGAGUCUGAAUACCCUAGAGCUGAUUUCUUUUCAAAACCUAUUCCUUCCUGGCAAAUUUUUCCCCUGAAUCCACUUGGAAAUGGCGAACUUUUGGGUUCAAUGUAAAAGUAAUAAAGCUGUGACAUAUUAAACA